UACAGAGGUCUCAAGCGUUGUUCGGAUUCAUUGGGCGUAAAGGGUGCGUAGGCGGCGCGGUAAGUCGGGUGUGAAAUCUCGGAGCUUAACUCCGAAACUGCAUUCGAUACUGCCGUGCUUGAGGACUGGAGAGGAGACUGGAAUUUACGGUGUAGCGGUGAAAAUGCGUAGAUAUCGUAAGGAAGACCAGUGGCGAAGGCGGGUCUCUGGACAGUUCCUGACGCUGAGGCACGAAGGUCAGGGGGAGCAAAACGGGG
rnacentral:rRNA from 1 species